AGACUGGGGAAUCCCACCCGGCUCCUGAGCAAGGCCACUCUCUGCCUGCCACAUCAAAGGCAGAUUGAGGGUCUGCCAGUGGCACUGAUGCAGCCCUGGCCUGCAGUUGCCUGCUGAAGAGGGGUCCUGACUGGCCAUGGGCUGCCCAGGCCAGGGUGGGCAGGGGCUGCCUGUGCCCAUCACCAGCCAUGCAGUUUCAGGGGGAGUGGUUUGUCCUCGGUCUGGCAGACAACACCUACAAGAGAGAGCACCGGCCUUUGCUGCAUUCCUUUAUCACGCUGUUCAAGCUGAGAGACAACAGGGCAAGCAUUGCAGCACUUGGUCCUAUACCCUGAUCCCAACAAACAAGCCUGGGCAAUUCACCAGGGACAACA
rnacentral:lncRNA from 1 species